GUCCGUGUUGCACUUGCGCCGUUGGUACUUGCACGCCGCGCACGCCUGGUUCGUGCACCCGCUUCCGCUUCCGCCGCCGCUGCCUGUGCCUCCGGUGGUGCUGGGUCCGCGAGGGGGGCUGCUCGUGGAAUGCGGGGAGGAGGAACGCGCGUUGCUGGUGCUUUGGUUUGAGGAGGGCGAUAUGAUUGCAGUGGACCCGGUGCUCGUACCGGUGGUGGUAAUAUGCAGUUGGGGCUGGGAGGCGGCCGCGGCUGGGGAUACUGAGGAGGUCAUUGUCUCGCCGCGCGCGCGCCAGAUGGCACAGGCGGCGGCAAUGGCGAUCGUCGUGCUACCACGCACCACACCGAGGUCGGGGGCGUCGUCGUCGUAGGAAUAGGAG
rnacentral:misc_RNA from 1 species